GACGAACGCUGGCGGCAGGCCUAACACAUGCAAGUCGAACGCUCCAGCAAUGGAGAGUGGCAGACGGGUGAGUAACACGUGGGAACCUACCCUUUGGUUCGGAAUAGCCCAGGGAAACUUGGGGUAAUACCGGAUAAGCCCUUUGGGGGAAAGAUUCAUCGCCGAAGGAUGGGCCCGCGUCGGAUUAGCUAGUUGGUGGGGUAACGGCCUACCAAGGCGACGAUCCGUAGCUGGUCUGAGAGGAUGAUCAGCCACACUGGGACGGAGACACGGCCCAGACUCCUACGGGAGGCAGCAGUGUGGAAUAUUGGACAAUGGGCGCAAGCCUGAUCCAGCCAUGCCGCGUGAGUGGCGAAGGUCUUCGGAUUGUAAAGCUCUUUUGGCGGGGAAGAUAAUGACGGUACCCGCAGAAUAAGCCCCGGCUAACUUCGUGCCAGCCGCCGCCGUAACAC
rnacentral:rRNA from 1 species